GCUAGCGUAGCUUAAUACAAAGCAUAACACUGAAGAUGUUAAGAUGGGCCCUGAGAAGCCCCGCGUGCA
rnacentral:tRNA from 1 species